GCCUCUGUGGCGGAAUGGUAGACGCGGCAGACUCAAAAUCUGCUGUCCGUAAGGAUGUGAGAGUUCGAAUCUCUCUGGGGGUA
rnacentral:tRNA from 1 species